rnacentral:rRNA from 1 species
AUUGAACGCUGGCGGCAGGCCUAACACAUGCAAGUCGAGCGGGGUUUUCGGACCUAGCGGCGGACGGGUGAGUAAUGCGUAGGAAGCUGCCCGAUAGAGGGGGAUACCAGUUGGAAACGACUGUUAAUACCGCAUAAUGUCUACGGACCAAAGUGUGGGACCUUCGGGCCACAUGCUAUCGGAUGCGCCUACGUGGGAUUAGCUAGUUGGUGAGGUAAUGGCUCACCAAGGCGACGAUCUCUAGCUGGUUUGAGAGGAUGAUCAGCCACACUGGAACUGAGACACGGUCCAGACUCCUACGGGAGGCAGCAGUGGGGAAUAUUGGACAAUGGGCGCAAGCCGGAUCCAGCCAUGCCGCGUGUGUGAAGAAGGCCUUCGGGUUGUAAAGCACUUUCAGCGAGGAGGAAGGGGUGUAUGUUAAUAGCAUGCAUUUUUGACGUUACUCGCAGAAGAAGCACCGGCUAACUCUGUGCCAGCCGCCGCGGUAAAAC